rnacentral:rRNA from 1 species
GUCUAUGGCCAUGCUACCCUGAACAAGCCUGAUCCCAUCUGAUCUUGGAAGCUAAGCAGGGUUGGGUCUAGUUAGUACUUGGAUGGGAGACCACCUAGGAAGAUCAGGUGCUGUAGGCC